rnacentral:lncRNA from 1 species
UGAUAAAUAAACAUUUACUCUAAGAAAUCAUGGAAAAUAACACUGAUUUUGAUAGUACAAAUCCGCAAAAGAUAUCCAUAAACAGUGAGUCAAUCACAGAAAAUAUACAGAUUAAAAUAACUAAAAAAUCAAGGAAAAUAAGAAAGAAACUGAAAAAACUAUAUAUAGAAUAUGAAUACCUAAGUAUUACAAAAAUAAACAAAGCUAGGUUGUCUGAAUUAAUUGAUAUAAUAUCUAAAACAGAAUAUAAAUAUAUUUUCCAUCUUAAAAAUAAAAGAUGAAUAAAGAAGAAUUCGCACUAGAAGAAAAAACAUAUGAAAAUCCAGAAGGAUUAAAAAUAACAAUAAUAUUUUCCAACUUAGGAAGAAGAUACAAGAAAAUAGGAAAUAACCUGAACUUAAUGUUAGAAAAAGAAACUAUAAAACUAGAAGAUAGUUUAACCGCAAUGGUUAGAAUAACAAAAGAAAACGAAGAAAUAGACAGAAAACGAGAAAUUAAAGAAAUACAACAGCAAGCUAAAGAAAAAAUACAACAGAUAGAAGAAGUAAAAAACACUAAAAUAACAGAAUUAGAAAAAGAAUUGGAAAUGCUAAAACAGCUAUAUACUAAUAAACUAAAAGAAAAAGAGAAACGUAAAGAAGAAGAACAAGAGCUAAGACUGACAAAUGAGAUAGAAAAAUUUAAAAUACAGUUAGAAGAGGUACAGGAUAAUCCACCAAAUAUAAGCAUAAAUGAAAUAAAUGACCAAAGUGAUGACGACAAAGAUCUAGUAGAAAACUAUUCGGAAACAAGUGAGACGUACACAGAACUUAUAGAAAAAACAGAAAAGAUAAAAACAAAUCCAGAAAUAAAUACAGGGGAUAUGACUGAAGAUAAACCAAGAACAUUAGGAGUAAAAAAUCCAAGACAACUAAACCCAACCUAUUACAGAGUAAGUUAUGAUUCAUAUGAUAGAAACAAAACAUUAUGGGAUAAAAGGCUAAAUAGGAAAUGGACACCAAGACAGAUAACUGAACAAUGUAAUUUUUUAGAUCUAGAUUGUAUAGCAGAUAUAAAUAAAACAAUCCAAUUAUGGAUAGGAUAUAUCUCAAAACAACUAAUAGAUAAUAAAAUAGUAAUAGCUGAAACGCCAGGAUAUAUAGAAAGAACACUUAUAGGAACGGUAAAAUUAUGGUUACAAAAUUUAUCAGGUGAAAGCUUAGAUACAUUAAGAAGUAAUAAAAACUGGAUGAUACAACUGCAACAACAGUUACAGAUAUAUUGAAUAAAUAUGAAAUAGCAAUAAGAAGUGAAUUUAGUAGUAUGACAACAGAAGUAGAAGAACAAAAUAAAGAAAAGACUACAAAUAGAAAUUUAAUGACAAAAUUAGCAAUAUGUAAUAUGUGUUAUAUAGAUGAAUAUACUUAUGCAUUUAGAGACUAUUAUUAUAAAGGAACAUAUAGUCCAGAUGAAAGUAAGGAGAUAAGAAAAUUAUAUUUUACAAAAUUACCAGAACCGUUUAGCUCAAAAGUAAUAAAAAAUUGGAAUGAAGCAGAACUAGCAGAUACUCUAGGAGCUCGAAUAAAAUUUCUACAAAACUGGUUUAUAGAAUUAUAUGAAAAAUAUAAAGAAAAUAUCAAAAUGGAUAAAAUAUUAGUAAAAAAUUUGGCAUGUUGCAAAAAUAGAAUAGCACCCAAUUUGGCUGCAUAGAUAAAUAUUACAAAAAAGAAGGAAAGAGAAGAAGAUAUAAAUAAUAAUGAAAUAGAUGAAUCAGACGAUGAAAAUUAUGACUGAAAAAGAUAUACAAAUUAUACAACAAGAAGAACACCAAGAUGGAACGAUCUUCAGAACAGAAAAUAAUAUUUGACACCACUAUAUUUGAACAAAUAAAAGGAAAAGAAUUGGAUCUAAGCAUAGACAAAAUAUUAGAAGUACCAACAAUAAAGAAUUGGUUUAAAAGACAAAAAGAAGAAUACUAUGUAGUAAGACAAAGAGAACACAUAAUAGACUGUAAAUACAUUAAAGGUAAAGCAAGAAUACCAAUUUUAAAUAAAAAACUACUAAAUAAAGAAAUACAAGAUAUAAAAGCAAAAA